rnacentral:rRNA from 1 species
AUUGAACGCUGGCGGCAUGCCUUACACAUGCAAGUCGAACGGCAGCGCGGGAGCUUGCUCCUGGUGGCGAGUGGCGAACGGGUGAGUAAUACAUCGGAACGUACCCAGUAGUGGGGGAUAACGCACCGAAAGGUGCGCUAAUACCGCAUACGACCUACGGGUGAAAGCGGGGGACCGUAAGGCCUCGCGCUAUUGGAGCGGCCGAUGUCUGAUUAGCUAGUUGGCGGGGUAAAAGCCCACCAAGGCGACGAUCAGUAGCUGGUCUGAGAGGACGAUCAGCCACACUGGGACUGAGACACGGCCCAGACUCCUACGGGAGGCAGCAGUGGGGAAUUUUGGACAAUGGGGGCAACCCUGAUCCAGCAAUGCCGCGUGUGCGAAGAAGGCCUUCGGGUUGUAAGGCGCUUUUGUCAGGGAAGAAAUCUUUCAGGCUAAUACCUCCUGCUAAUGACGGUACCUGAAGAAUAAGCACCGGCUAACUACGUGCCAGCCGCCGCAGUAA